rnacentral:rRNA from 1 species
AUGAUCAGCAACGUUUACGCCCCCUCUGAUCAUGCAUUGACGGCGGACUUUGUUGAGGAUCUCCGGUCGGUCUCGUUGGGCAUCACCGGCCCCUGGCUGGUGUUUGGGGACUUUAAUCUCAUCUGCUACCCUCACGAGAAGAAUAACAACCGUUUUGAUGCUUCUCGUGCGGCUGUGUUCAACUCCCUCGUUAACUCUCUUGCUCUGCACGAGCUCGCCCUGUCGGGUCGACUUUUCACCUGGACGAGCAAG